UACGUAGGGGGCUAGCGUUGUCCGGAAUUACUGGGCGUAAAGCGUGCGCAGGCGGUUUCGCAAGUCAGAUGUGAAAUCCCCGGGCUCAACCUGGGAACUGCAUUUGAAACUACGAGGCUAGAGUGUGUCAGAGGGGGGUAGAAUUCCACGUGUAGCAGUGAAAUGCGUAGAGAUGUGGAGGAAUACCGAUGGCGAAGGCAGCCCCCUGGGAUAACACUGACGCUCAUGCACGAAAGCGUGGGGAGCAAACAGG
rnacentral:rRNA from 1 species